UACGGGGGGAGCAAGCGUUGUUCGGAUUUACUGGGCGUAAAGGGCGCGUAGGCGGCGCAACAAGUCACUUGUGAAAUCUCCGGGCUUAACCCGGAGCGGCCAAGUGAUACUGUCGUGCUAGAGUGCGGGAAGGGGCUACUGGAAUUCUCGGUGUAGCGGUGAAAUGCGUAGAUAUCGUAAGGAAGACCAGUGGCGAAGGCGGGUCUCUGGACAGUUCCUGACGCUGAGGCACGAAGGUCAGGGGAGCAAACGGG
rnacentral:rRNA from 1 species